rnacentral:pre_miRNA from 1 species
GUAGUAUUCCCUCCGUCCCAAAAUUCUUGUCUUACAUUUGUUUAGAUACAAAUGUAUCUAACACUAAAAUGUAACUAGAUACAUCCAUAUUUAGAAAAAUUUAAGACAAGAAUUUUGGGAUGGAGGGAGUACAAA